rnacentral:misc_RNA from 1 species
UAAAUAUAGUAAGUUUAGAUGUUUAAUAGUAUAAAAAUUUAUUUAACAUAUUCAACAAGUUAAUCUGAAAUAGCGUAAGAGUGCCAUUUGGCUUGUAAAAUUAAAGACCAAUAAUGACAAACAGCACCUUCAACGUACAAGUUAUGCCAAGCUCACCGUAUGCAAUUCAAAAGAAAAAUUCAAGAGACCAUGAACAGCCUUAUCACCCAAUCAAGUCCUAUAAAUUGCACCAAGCUAGUUCGUUACACUGAUUACUUAGCAUUGGAGGAUCUAAAAUGUCUAAAUUGUUUCAACUAAAGAGGUGAAGAGGGCAUCCAAAAAUGGGGUCCAGAAAAAUUCUAAGAGCCUUGAAUGUUACAAGUUCAAUCUCAAAGCAAAACACUCGUUUCUUCUAAAGGCCAUCUCUAUGGUUCAUGAUUCAAGCUCCCGUCCAUCAUCCAUGAACUUCUUUUUCUGUCCUGCAGACAGAAACGGAUCUUACCACCUAUUAUUAGGUGGCUUCACCUUGUAAAUACGGACGAUCCAAUUAGAUGUUGUGAAUGCUUCUUCCAAGUAUUCAAGUUUAAUGUCCUUGUUUCCAAUUUCAACACCUCUUGCACGAUCAUACCUACAAAUAUUUACAGAAAUGAAUAAUGAAAAAGGCACAAAAUAAUAAUGAAGCCCUUGAAUAAUGGGACAUUUUCAUACCCUUUUGUGGAAAUCACCAUAUCCUUGAGACCUAGAUUAGCAGGCAACUCUAAACAUGGCAAAGCCACUUCAAGAGUUCAGACAUUGAUUUGGAGCAAAUACAAGGAUGGAAAGCUUGUUUAAGAUAUUGCAUGAUUAGUUCUACCUGUUAUCAAGCCAUACUUUUCACUCCUAAGUUUCUGACUUCUAGGAGAAGUAUUUUGUUUAAUUUUUAGCUUCACGAGUAGAUUGGUCUAAUCUAAGAGUCAAAAUUCAUAUGCAAUCCAGACCUGAGUUUUGUCCGUAUAAGCAUUUUUUCACAAUCACAUCAAUACAGGCUAAAAGAAGAAGUCCAAGGCUCACGGUAUUAUUCAAACGCUGCUUUCAUGGAUAUUGUUGAUGAGCACUAUCAGUGGAUAUUGUUCACAAGGCCAUCUAAAUAUGGUUCAUCUCCUCCAUAUUGGUUGUUCUGCAUCAAUAAGGGAUUGCAUCUUUUCCAACUUCACAGCUUUUUAACUACCUUGCAAAAUUUCCCUUCUUGACGACCACCUGUUAUUUUGGUACAUCGGAAGUUUUUGAAAGGGUAUGUUAGGGAUUAAAAAACUCAAGCUCUUGUUAUGAACCCUCAAUUGCCUUCUCAAUGACUUACAUACUACUUUUAAGAUUUGUGAAAUUAUAAGAAACUGCAUCUCCUUAUUCAAUAGUGAAUAUCCGGUUCACACCAUUCCGGAAACUUUAAUAAAUUAUUAAAAUCCCCUUCCCUUCUCUCAUGUGCAAAAUAUACUGAAUUAGGAUGCACAGAAGCGACAGACAAUGCAUAUACAUGGAUCUGCAUGCAAGUGUACAAAUGCUAACAACUUGAGAAACAAAGAGUGUGAAUAUUGAACGUACCCUGGAGGCUUGCCCAUUUCUGUUACCAAUUCUCCAAACCGAUAGUAGGAUAGCUUGUACCUAUUCACCACAAUUGGUAAGAUAAAACUUACAUGUACCAAAAGUUGGAACAAGAGUGGCACAUGACUAUGGCACUACAAAUUUGACCGCAAAGCAGUAUUAUUAUUAUUUUUUUUUUUAAAUUUAGAAGCAAGGGUAAGAAUAAAAUCUAGUAUAAGAUGAUGGAAAAUAUUUUUCAAGGAAAUCAUCAUUAUUUCAUUAAAAAGAAACAGAUAAAUUGCACAGACAAAAUCCCAAGAAAAUACUCAAAAUCUACAAUAGACACAUUAAACAUAACAAAAUCAUUUUUAGCUGACUUUCGCUUUCACAUAUAGAAUCAUUUCAAUUAAUUUAAAUACAAAUUUUUGUGUAAACUACAUUUUUAUUCCUAAGGUUUGCCGCUAAUUAUAAGACAUCAAACAUUUACUCAAGUCUUCACAUUUCAAUUCCCUUUUUUGUUUGAAUACGCAUUUAAGAAAAGUUGGUGACUUGACAUAUUGUGAGAUAAUGACAGUCCUGAAAUACCAUUGAAACCUUUGAUGUAUUGCACCUUAAAUAUUAAGCUGUUAUUUUUUAAAUACAAAAUUAAAACAAAAAUUGAAACAAAAAAUUGUUGCAUCAAUUAUCACCAUAUUCAUCAAUCUAUAAUUUAUUACCAUUUUUUUUUUCUUCCUUAAAUAAGUAGCAUAUCUUUCAUUCCAAGAAAUUUAACAUUUUUGCAUAAUAUUUUGUUGUCUAAUACCAUUUCCCGUUUAUCCUAUAUAGAUAAUUAUUUCCAAUGAACUUUGUGUUAGUACAUUGUUGGCAGAGGAAGAGGGUUUAUCCUUUAAGAACAAAUUUUAACUUCACACAUACCAUUUUGAUUGUAUGAAUUAUUUUCCUUUAUUUUGCAUUAGAGAUACAUUUAUUGAAAAAUCUAAUGAUCCAAAACCCUCGUUAACCACUUUUACUGAUUCCAUUUUAAGCCUACCUUUUAUCUUCUUCACCUCUUAUAACUUGAAAAUAAUGUGUAAAUGAAAAGAAAAUAAAAUUGGAUAGAGAAGCAAAGAAAUAUAUUUGAGAAAGGGAUGGCAACUAUGAAGAAUCAACUAUGGGUGAUUAUGGUUUGGUUUGGUCAACCAAAUCAUAAACAAUGCUGACAAACCAAAUCGAUGGCCAUAAUUCAACGAAUUACUGAUCUGAAAAGAAACCAUUAAAAUUGGAUAACUGAUUUUCCAGUUCACCAUUCUUAAAAAGCCCACAAAUUAACUAAAUCGAAAGCAAAUAAUAACUAUACAAUUGCACAAAAUUUACAAUAGAUUUCUCCAGAAUUAAUCGAUUCAAAUGAGAAUUCUAUACUGCCUCAAUACAAGACAGGGCACUCUCAAAAUCCUACCAUCCACCUUUUAUAUAAGAUUUGCCCAUAUGUUUUCAAACUGUCCACAGAUGAAAACU